AACUCUCAACUCUCCUUGCUUUAUUGGCAAGGGCAGAGGUUGGAUAGUGGAGGCUUGCCGGAUGAUGAACGUUCGGCUCCUCUGAAAUGCAUUAGCGAUAACAACCAUUACUUGGCUACGCUAAGCUGUGAUAAUAUCUAAGCUAGCUAGAUCAGAGUGUUGACAGAGGGUCGGGUUUCGAAGGGCUUUUGCUCUUCGGCGUUCGCUCUAAGCGAUACCUAUGCGACUCUGUGCAAGCGUUGAAUUGCUUCUAAUUGUCCUUUGACAACUUACUGAUU
rnacentral:misc_RNA from 1 species